rnacentral:sRNA from 1 species
GACUAUGCGUUAGCGAUUGAACGGUUUGUUUAAGCUCCUUUUUGUUGUUUUUACAAAAAGAGCGAGUAGUGAAAGCGCGACCUUUA